UACCAGCACCCCGAGUGGUCGGGACGAUUAUUGGGCCUAAAGCAUCCGUAGCCGGUUUUACAAGUCCUCCGUUAAAUCCAGCUGCUUAACAGAUGGGCUGCGGAGGAUACUAUAAGACUAGGAGGCAGGAGAGGCAAGCGGUACUCAGUGGGUAGGGGUAAAAUCCGUUGAUCCAUUGAAGACCACCAGUGGCGAAGGCGGCUUGCCAGAAUGCGCUCGACGGUGAGGGAUGAAAGCUGGGGGAGCAAAC
rnacentral:rRNA from 1 species